GAAGCAAUCUGCCAAGCCAGUUCCUGAUACCAACAUGGAGAGCAUGGUACAACUGGAGAAGUUUUCUGAAGGGAUUAUAAAUUAUAUUUAAUCUGCAGGGAUAUAUUUGUUUGAGUGAGGUCAAGAAGCCAGUAAAGAUGUUACAUUAACAUCAGCAAUGCCUUUGACUCUAUGAGGAUUUUAUACUUCCCUUAACACUGAAGCUUUAUGUCCCCCAUAAUUGGUCCAUCACUAUCAGGGAGAUGGUUUUCCUUUGAACUCCUCAAAGCACAGAAGGUUGGACUUGACUUUUCUUGGACCUGAUAUUUCUGUUCAGCCUGGACCCCCAGGACAUAGAAUGAUGUUGCUCACAUUCAGAGUGAGUCUUCUUUCUUCUGGAGCCACCCUUACAAAUGUGCAGAAAUCUGUCCUGUAAGUGAUUAUACUUCUGGCCAAGCCUACAGCCAAGAUAAACCAUCACACCUUACUUUUUCAAGUUUCUCAUGCAUGAACUGUAUUAGUUUGACAGGGGUGCACACAAUGUAUAUGCACCAUGUUAAAAAAAAAAUAAAGGUGGAAGAUGUGUGCAGUUGA